CUGUAUGUAAUGUAUUGGCCACAACUGUCAUAUUAUUUUUUAUCAAUAUAACCAAUAUGGUUUGCUUGUGUUUUGAACAGGCACACACCUGCAAGAAGGUCUGCACUCAAGAUGUGGUGGGUACGAGUCAUUCAGAGCCUUGGCUCUGGCUACACUGCUGGACCCAAGGUUCAAAAAUGUGGGUUUUGGAAAUCCUGCCAAAGCCCAGGAGGCUGAAAAGCAGAUCACACUGGAGUGUGCUUCGCUGAUGCGUUCAAACACAGCAACUCCUGAGCCACAGUCAACAUCAGGCCCAUCAUCAUCAUCAUCAACAACAACAUCAA